ACGGGUGAUUAACGCGUGAGAAUCUGGCUCUAGGUCGGGGACAACAGUUGGAAACGACUGCUAAUACCGGAUGUGCCGAGAGGUGAAAGAUUAAUUGCCUAGAGAUGAGCUCGCGUCUGAUUAGCUAGUUGGUGUGGUAAGAGCGCACCAAGGCGACGAUCAGUAGCUGGUCUGAGAGGAUGAUCAGCCACACUGGGACUGAGACACGGCCCAGACUCCUACGGGAGGCAGCAGUGGGGAAUUUUCCGCAAUGGGCGAAAGCCUGACGGAGCAAUACCGCGUGAGGGAGGAAGGCUCUUGGGUUGUAAACCUCUUUUCUCAAGGAAUAAAAAAAUGAAGGUACUUGAGGAAUAAGCAUCGGCUAACUCCGUGCCAGCAGCCGCGGUAAUACGGAGGAUGCAAGCGUUAUCCGGAAUGAUUGGGCGUAAAGGGUCCGCAGGUGGCAAUGUAAGUCUGCUGUCAAAGAAUGAGGCUCAACCUCAUCAAGGCAGUGGAAACUACGUAGCUAGAGUACGGUCGGGGUAGAAGGAAUUCCUGGUGU
rnacentral:rRNA from 1 species